rnacentral:lncRNA from 1 species
GCCUAUCCAUUUACUUUUGCUUAACAAAUUUAUCAUAUCAUGCAUACACACACACCUUUUUUCGAGUGUGAACAUAGCCAAAACAUAAUGGCAUUAUCGAUAAUAAUAUACGUGCACUAUACCAGUCAUGUAUUUAGCAAUUUACAUUGCAUACACAUAUUCACAUUGUUAGAUUGUAUUCACAAUACAAAUGACCCAUGACUUUCAGCGGAGACAUUUACAAUAAAAGGGAUUACUAUCGAAUGCCAGACACAUACCCAGGAGAUGCACUAUGGGGACUCCUCGAUCUAGGGUCCAAUAGUCACCUGAUCUGAAAACAUGAAUUUUUAUAAAACGUAAGUACAAUACUCAGCGAGUGAACAAGAUGAGAACAAGCAUACCAUAAGGAAUGUUUAUCGAAAUCAUGAUGCAUUCAUUUUCUCAAAACCAUGCAAUUGUUUUAGCUCCUUUAAACCCCUC